UUCCCACCAACAAUACCGACGGUCCACCUAACUCACCGUCGCAGGAAGUGAGCUAUGCAUACGGCUCAUGUUUUUGUCAUGUCGUAAAAGGAACUCGCAAAACGGAUCGAGGUAUGGAUCCAACCCAGGGAGCUUAGGGCCGGAGGAAUCCGUUGCAGCCGGAGCUGCAGGCAACCCGCGUCGAAAGCUGCAAAGCAUAAUCUGUCUCUAUUCCUUACAAACUGCUAGUAUCGAACAUUAGAGAAGAAUCCUUACCCUCUUCGUUUUCUACAAGAACUAGGGUUUCUCUCAAAUGGCCGCUCGAAUGAUCUCCUUUCGAUCGUUUUCAACCACCUUCUUACCAUCCAAUCCUCGAAAGCCGGCGAAGCCGGUUCUCUUUCACUGGUUUGGAAUCUCAAUCCAGACCGUUCGAUAAGUCUAUUGCUCGGACACGUUGAUUCGCUCCACUCACUGAGCCAGAACCCUCUGGUUCGAAGAAGUCUCAGUGACUGAAGCUCGUCUCAUGGAGAUCUUCGUAUUGGGUGACCAUUUUCCUUAUCCAUGUUUGUUGCAGUGUUGCACCCUCUGGGCGUCUGUCUAUGCUAGACCUACAAAGUGCCGACUCACAGUGCUCAGAAUCCACUGGUGACUUAGUAUUCACAAGAUGAAUGGAGAUGCUGUUAGCAUCCAGGUAGAGCGUGAAAGAAAAAGUUGAAAUGCACAUUGCUUAUUACCUUGGAAUUCUUUUGAACAAUUGCUUAAUUCUAUUUCAGAUUCAUGGGGAAGUUUGUAACUCAGGAAUUUGCUCUACAUUCAAAGGUGCAUUUUGCCAAUACCACAGAGAGGGUGCUUAUGUUGAAACUGGAAGCUCCAAUGGAGGCAUAUACAGACGAGUAAGAUGACUCAAUGCACAAACCCUUUUUCUCUGUACAUGAUUUUCAAAAUCUGGGAUGUGUCACACUGCUAAGGUGAGGCUAGAAGUAGAACACUUGCUGACGAACUGCUAACAGAUGCACACAGAAAACUAGCAAGCACAAGGCAGCAAGUCUUUAUUGUCGAUGGAGAUCAGCAGGGAGCAUCAUCCCCUCUUCAUUCUCACUACAUUGUUCACGAAAGUGGAAGUGCGAUAGUAAAGAUGAAUUUGUUAUUGGGGGACAGUAUUCGACGGCCUCGCUGAAAGUCAAUCAGUGCUUCCCAUGUUCUAACAUGAGGUUGAUUUGGCAUUUCAGAUGGCAGGGGAAGGUUUGUGAAGGGAGGAGUGCCAGAAAAAGGAUGACUAGGAGGCAUUUGAUCUAAGGGCUGUCAAAGGGGCUAACAGCUCUGUUUCAGUGUUAUAUCUUCUUCUUGUGAAAAGAUGAAAUUGAUUAUUAAGGGUGGGAAUUGGGAAUAGUAUGUGUGCUUUGAUUUAUGAGCGCUUGCAUUUGGGGAUGUGAUUCUUGGUUCAGUCCAUUCCAUCAUCAUCAUCAUUGCUAUAA